CCCUAUCUGUAUCUGAUUUCUAAACUGUUCCCUCCCAAAAUAAUCCCCUAUUUAAGGACUCUCUAACCCCCAAAAGUAUACAUUUUUGAAACAUCAGACAGGCACCGAAACUGAGAGAAAAACACAAAUCGAACAAAAAGAAAGAGAGGAUUCUACAUACUUGGACACUGCAUCAAUACCUACACUGUAUCAGAAAAAUCAGAGAAGAAAGAAAAGACAGAG
rnacentral:lncRNA from 1 species